rnacentral:snoRNA from 1 species
CCCCUCUCAGGGUCGCACCUGGAGAGUUUCCAGUACUCUACCAGUCUCCACUAUGGGAGGGAGAGUCAAGCAGAGACACACCCAUACCAUUCCUAGCUUGGCCAGCUGCUAGCAAGUGGAAGGAGAUCUGCUACAAGU